CACCGAUUGACUAAGGUUUCCAGAGGAAGGCUCGUCCGCUCUGGGUUAGUCGGGUCCUAAGCUGAGGCCGAUAGGCGUAGGCGAUGGAUAACAGGUUGAUAUUCCUGUACCACCAUGUAUCGUUUUAAGCGAUGGGGGGACGCAGUAGGAUAGGCGAAGCGUACGAUUGGAUUGUACGUCCAAGCAGUAAGACUGAGUGUUAGGCAAAUCCGGCACUCUUAAGGUCAAGCUGUGAUGGGGAGAGGAAAUUGUUUCCUCGAGUCGUUGAUUUCACACUGCCGAGAAAAGCCUCUAGCUAGAUUUAUGGUGCCCGUACCGCAAACCGACACAGGUAGUCAAGAUGAGAAUUCUAAGGUGAGCGAGCGAACUCUCGUUAAGGAACUCGGCAAAAUGACCCCGUAACUUCGGGAGAAGGGGUGCUAUUUAGGGUUCACGCCCAGGACAGCCGCAGUGAAUAGGACCAAGCGACUGUGUAU
rnacentral:rRNA from 1 species